UCUGCCUCCCUAACCUGUUCUUCCUCUCAGCCAUCCCUUCCUCCCACCCCAAGCCGCACCCCCAUCUACCUACUAACCUCAUCCCACCUCCUUGACCUGUCCGUCUUCCCUGGACUGACCUUUUCUCUCCUCUCCACCUUCGGUCCGCCUCCCCCUCUCUCCCUAUUUAUUCCAGUUCCCUCUCCCCGUCCCCCUCUCUGAUGAAGGGUCUAGGCCCGAAACGUCAGCUUUUGUGCUCCUGAGAUGCUGCUUGGCCUGCUGUGCUCAUCCAGCCUCACAUUUUAUUAUUUUAGGAGAGAGAGCUGUUUUGGUUUGUGAUACAAGAGACGAGGCUGCCUAUGCCUUUCACCCAUCGGUAGCUCUCCUCCUGUCCCUGCCUCUAUGCACACACUCUGCCAGGCAUAGUCUUCCUCCCUCUGUGUGUGUGUGUGUCUCUCUCGCUUCAGCUCCUAAAACCUAAGAUGCAUCGGAUAUAAAAACACGCACAUAAACACACACACACACACACACACAUCAACAAGCCAUGGAGAAAGAUCAGGAAUUACUGCAAGCUGUCAAAACCGAAGAUGUAGCUGCAAUGCAGAAGCUGUUGCAAAGGCCGAAACAAGGCAAAGCGAGACACAAUCAUUGCCUUGGAAGCUUCAUCAUGAUAGGACAUUGCAUUUCUGAAGAGGGAAGAAGAAAUCAACAGGCAAAUUCAAUUCCAUGGUUUUGGAAGUCCCAUUGAGAACACGAUUCAUGUGCGCUGGCAUAAUGCUCUGACCGAGAAAGAAUCGAAGCUUCCGCUUGGAAGAAAGAUUCACAUCAAGUUGACUGGUCAAGGAAAUGGGACACUGACUAACCAUACAAUUAGACUGUUUUGAUGAGGAACCUAAAGAUUACGAGUCCCGUCCGUUUGACUCAGAGUUUGGUACCAUAGGUUGGUACGAUCUUCGUUGGAGAAGGAAAAGGGAUGUUCCAGAUACAGAAAAUAGUCAAACCAUUUACUACAAAGUCCGUUUCUGGGUGGAGUUAGUGGAACCGAAAAAGAUGUCUCCCUCACAGCGUUUGUGACAAAAGAAUUGCAUUGUUCCUUGGCGGCCUUUCAACAGAAGAAUAUUCAGAGAUUUCACGAGUGAUUCUGAUGUUGGUUCCUGGAAAGCCUCCAUUGUUGGAGGACGAGAAGCCGUAUCCAAUUGAAGCAGCACAGGCUUCUGCGAUGACUGUGGAAACCACUGCUUAUGCCUUGCUUCAAGCAUUGUCAAGGAAUGAUAUUGACUAUGCAACACCGAUUGCGAGGUGGCUAACGAUGCAACAGAACUAUGGUGGUGGAUUUCACUCGACGCAGGACACAAUCAUUGCCUUGGAAGCUUCAUCACGAUACGACAUUGCAUUUCUGAAGAGGGAAGAAGAAAUCAACAUGCAAAUUCAAUUCCAUGGUUUUGGAAGUCCCAUUGAGAACACGAUUCAUUUGCGCCGGCAUAAUGCUCUGACCGAGAAAGAAUUGUGGUAAUUGCAUGACACUUUGACUGGUUCGUUGAGAGUGAGGAACCUAUGGACUCUCACACACCAAGAUGGAAUUUAGUUCGAAGAGUGACUUCAAAAUGUUCCGCAAGUUUUAGCGUAAACUGGUGGAGACUUUCGGUGCUUGCAAAAAGGCUCACCUCUCCGUUAAUACCGAAGGAAAAUGGGAGUUUAAAAAUGGUUGGAUAUUGGAUUCAAUUUAAAUGAGGAACCAUACGAUUAGACUGUUUUGAUGAGGAAUUUAAAGAUUACGAGCCGUGUCCGUUUGACUCACAGUUUGGUACCAUAGGUUGGUACGAUCUUCGUUGGAGAAGGAAAAGGGAUGUUCCAGAUCCAGAAAAUCGUCAAACCAUUUACUACAAAGUCCGUUUCUGGGUGGAGUUAGUGGAACCGAAAAAGAUGUCUCCCUCACAGCGUUUGUGACACAAGAAUUGCAUCGUUCCUUGGCGGCCUUUCAACAGAAGAAUAUUCAGAGAUUUCCCGAGUGACAACAUCAGGUGAAGAUGUGCGUGAUUUCAGCAAGGUGCUGAAAAAUAAGUUCAGAUCAAAGAAACACUUGCCAAACAUCCUCGCUUGAGUUAUUUACUAGU